AUUGGAGGGCAAGUCUGGUGCCAGCAGCCGCGGUAAUUCCAGCUCCAAUAGCGUAUAUUAAACUUGUUGCAGUUAAAAAGCUCGUAGUUGAAUUUCUGCGUUGCCCGACUCGGCUACUUGCCUUGUCUGGUUUCGCUUUUGGGGUUUUCCCCUUUUUACUUUGAGAAAAUUAGAGUGUUUCAAGCAGACUUGUGUCUUGAAUACUUCAGCAUGGAAUAAUAAAGUAGGACUUUGGUUCUAUUUUGUUGGUUUGUGAACCUUAGUAAUGGUUAAUAGGAACGGUUGGGGGCAUUCGUAUUUAACUGUCAGAGGUGAAAUUCUUAGAUUUGUUAAAGACGAACUACUGCGAAAGCAUUUGCCAAGGACGUUUUCAUUAAUCAAGAACGAAAGUUAGGGGAUCGAAGACGAUCAGAUACCGUCGUAGUCCUAACCAUAAACCAUGCCGACUAGGGAUUGGAGGUCGUCAUUUUUCGACUCCUUCAGCACCUUGAGAGAAAUCAA
rnacentral:rRNA from 1 species